UUCUGCUCCUGUGCUUCCAGCUUCCUCACAAAGAAGAGCAGCUCCCACCAUUCGGCACGGCUCAGUGUCUCUGCAGCCUUGGGCAGCCGCUGGCCCAGGAAAGAACUCAUGCUGGGCAGAAGAGGUCCUCACUGUACCAUAGUUUGCUGGGAGAAAGGAAGGGCCAAUGAUCUCGACCAUGUGCCAGUGAACCCAGUACGUGCAGCCCAGAGCUUGCCAGUACACCUGAGGAGGACAGCCCAACAGACACCCAGCUGGGGGAAUGCAAGGCCAACCCCACUGUUCC